CCCAUCUCUCAUCAAGGAGGAGUCCCACAUUCAGAGAUGGAAAAUACUUCGUUUCCUUCGGAGGAUCGCUACCAUCGCAGCCUCCGGGUCGCGCUGGCGACACGCGUCCUUCCGCGUGGAGCAAAAAUAAAAAACGAGCAGGUUCAUUCUUAUCCCGUCGCCCGCAUCGUCCUCCUCCACACAGUCAUCCGUUCUCUCGCUCCCUUUCCAGCCGCCGCCGCAUCCAGCUGCAUGCCGCCGCCAGCACUGUUUCCUUCCGAGCCGCCGCCACAUCCAGCCGCGCGUCGCCGCCAGCACCGCUGCUCUACAUGCACAUCACCUCCUACCGCCCCCUCCCCUCCUCGUGCGGCCUCCGACGAGGUAAACUUCGCGGUCUGCCGCUGAUGAGGACGCCAUGGCCUGUAGAGUGGCCACGCGCGCCGCCGGAUUAUCCAAGUGGCACUGGCGGCUGUGCUGGUGGAAGGCGUUGCUCCCACGCUUGGCCAUCGAUGCUCUAACGGGCGGCCGGACCUGCUCCCAUGGGCGGCCGUCGUUGCUCCCUCGGGCGGAGGCGUCGCUGCUGCAGCUCGUCGCGCUGCUGCAAAGGCCGGGCACCAGAGCUGCAUGCCCCUGCCCCCAUAGCUGCAAAGGGCGGCCGGCCGUGCUGCCAAUGCCGGCUGCUUGUGCUACCAACAUCGACUGGCGGAGCAGCAAAGGGCGGCCGGCGGUGCUGCCAACCUCGACCGCUUGUGCUACCAACAUUGAUCGGUGGUGCUCCCAAUGCUGGCUGUAUGUGCUACCAACGCCGGCCGCUUCUGCUACCAACAGCGAGUCGGCGACCGGCGGUGCUUCAAAUGGCCGUCGCCGGAGCUGCAAGCGGUUCCGGUGGUGCUGCAAAUGGCAGUCGCCGGAGCUGCAAGCGAUUCCGGUGGUGCUGCAAAUGAAGGGUGGUGGAGCUACCAAGGAAGUGUGGUGGAGCUGCAAUCGUCCGCCGCAACUGUUGCAAGGGAGCAACAGUGAUGUGAUGGGUGGCUUCUCCGAUGAAGGUGCGGUAGGCGGUGGUGCUCUUCGGCGAUGAGCGACACCAUGUGUGUGCGGGGGGCGCUCAUGCUGUUAUGGAAGUGUUGGGUGCUGGGAGCGCGGACGGCGGUGCUUCAAGACAUGUAGCGAGCUCCAAGGCGAGGGUACGGAUUUCGCCGGCGGGGUACAGACUUCUCCGGCGGUGCUGCCAGCGCGGGUGGGGUUCGGGAGGACGGCGCUGCUGCCAGCGCAGGUGGAGUUCAGGGAAGAUGCGCUUUCUCUUUCAUUUUUAUUCGUGAGGUGUUUUUCCUCUUUUUCUUUAGUUAGUGGGUGGUCCAGUUAGACACGUGUCAAACGCCUGUUUCCAGCCUCCGGAGGAUUCUCAGCCUUAUCCUUCAGAGAUCGAGGUUACCUGCCGUCAUCACUAUGGUUCACAAAUUUGGUGGCUCUAAAUUCGCUGGCGCUUUUCGAAACAGCCGUCAUGUUGAUCGAGUUAGCGCACCCGCGCCUACAAUACUGUGUGAUAAUGCAGGUAACUUCACAACAGUGGCAACAUUACUUCCGCGAUAGGCAACUUCUCUGGAACGAUAGGCAACUUCAAUGCAGAGGUAAAAAGCUUUCCUUCUGCCAUAGACAAUUCCCCAGCAGAGGUAUGCAACUCCACUAGUGCACCAUCUGCUCAACCAUCUAGAUCAGCCGAAAGCAUAAUGGCUGACCUUGCUAAAUCAUUGUUCCUCCGGCCCGAACCAACCAACAAAGGCUAUAUCACCGCAUGCAUGAAAUGAGGGAUCUUGCGUGACCGUUCAUGUUUCGAGGGCCCACGCUACCACCGGCACCACUAUGCCUAUGUGCAGUGGCACCUCGUACUUCGUUGCGCCAGUUCAAUACUUUUCUGAUGCCUCCCAUGCCAACACGCAGGUGGGCCGAUCCUCCCAGCCGGGGUGACACUCUCUUCUGGCUUCUACAGUGCUACUCGUUUUGGUACAAGAUCGAAAAACCAAGGAGAGCUAGCUUCUAUGGUUCUGACCAAGAAAAACGUCGGCAGUUGGUGGAGCGGCACACGAUCAAGGCUUCUUCAAUGUUCACAUAGUAGAUGGUUGAUGUCCAGGACAUAAGGUUCUGGAGUUUAGGUCCAUUUACUACUACAAAGUGCACGAUCCUUAAGCUUCAAGUAUACAACAACUUCAUUGACGUUGGUCACGAACACAACAAUUUUACCGGCAAUGGUACCUACCGGUGCCACAUCUACCGUCCACUUCCUGCUUUGAGAUUGACGUCACUCAUGUAGGUGAAGUUACCUUUAAAAAGAGGUUUUUCGCGUUGGUCAGUCCAAACUCAGCAAGCAUUUUGCACUCAAAUGAGCUGUUCUGAAUUCUCAAGGUGCACGAUUCUUUGCCAACUACGUAUAACUAAAGAAUUGCAGAUUUCUUUUUGUGAACGCAGAAAUAAGAGGUGAACAUUUCAGCAAGCACAUGACCAUCCGGGUGACACCAAGACGAGCCUUACAAGGAACAUGACUGUUGUGAGCGCGAGCUCAAACAGGACGAAGGAACCAUUGUAGGGGAUGCUAAUCUUAAAGUGUACAUUACGGAGUACUAAAAAAAUUGGCACUCCGCAAAAUAAUUUGUUCUCCUUGAUGGAGGGGACAACGGAGGGUAUUCCACAACUUACUACAGUGGAAGGUCAUGCUCCACCAUGCAACUAUGAGAUCAAUGGCCACGAAUAUACCAAAGGCUAUUAUCUAACCGAUGGUAUAUAUCCAAAAUGGGUCACUUUUGUCAAAACAAUUCCGGCUCCAUCAGGUCAGAAGAAUUGCCACUUUGCUUCGCCACAGGAGACUUACAGGCAGGAUGUCGAGCGGGCAUUUGGUGUGCUUCAAGCUCAAUUUGCAAUUGUACGGAACCCUGUUCUAAGCUGGUCUCAGGACCAAAUGUGGGAGGUGAUGCAGGCUUGUGUGAUCAUGCACAACAUGAUCAUCGAGGAUGACCGCAAGAAUCAUGUCAGGAGACAUGUUGGUCCCUAUGAGUGUCACGGCCCUCUUGCGGAGGUUGAUCAUGAGCUGCUUGCAGAUUUUGCUGAUUUCCUCGUCAUGCACGCAGAGAUCCGUGACAACAAUGUUCACGGGCAACUUCAAAAUAAUCUCGUUGAGCAUAUGUGGAGGAUCAAAGGAUUAUCAGGAAAUGCCGCGGCGCCUUGAGCUAGCCUCAUUUAUUACAUUUGUUUAGUUGUUUUAUUGUUUAUUAUAUUUUAAUUUGAAAAUAAUUUUAGCAAACAUAUUUAUUUUGUAUGCUAUAUUUAAUAAAUGGUUGUGUUUUCAAAAACCCUAUAAAAAAGUUU